UUCUUGGGUGACGAGCGGCGGACGGGUGAGUAAUGCAUAGGAAUCUGCCCGGUAGUGGGGGAUAACCUGGGGAAACCCAGGCUAAUACCGCAUACGUCCUACGGGAGAAAGGGGGCUUCGGCUCCCGCUACGGGAUGAGCCUAUGUCGGAUUAGCUAGUUGGUAGGGUAACGGCCUACCAAGGCAACGAUCCGUAGCUGGUCUGAGAGGAUGAUCAGCCACAUCGGGACUGAGACACGGCCCGAACUCCUACGGGAGGCAGCAGUGGGGAAUAUUGGACAAUGGGGGCAACCCUGAUCCAGCCAUGCCGCGUGUGUGAAGAAGGCCUUCGGGUUGUAAAGCACUUUCAGCGAGGAAGAACGCCUAGUGGUUAAUACCCAUUAGGAAAGACAUCACUCGCAGAAGAAGCACCGGCUAACUCCGUGCCAGCAGCCGCGGUAAUACGGAGGGUGCAAGCGUUAAUCGGAAUUACUGGGCGUAAAGCGCGCGUAGGUGGCUUGAUAAGCCGGUUGUGAAAGCCCCGGGCUCAACCUGGGAACGGCAUCCGGAACUGUCAGGCUAGAGUGCAGGAGAGGAAGGUAGAAUUCCCGGUGUAGCGGUGAAAUGCGUAGAGAUCGGGAGGAAUACCAGUGGCGAAGGCGGCCUUCUGGACUGACACUGACACUGAGGUGCGAAAGCGUGGGUAGCAAACAGGAUUAGAUACCCUGGUAGUCCACGCCGUAAACGAUGUCGACCAGCCGUUGGGUGCCUAGCGCACUUUGUGGCGAAGUUAACGCGAUAAGUCGACCGCCUGGGGAGUACGGCCGCAAGGUUAAAACUCAAAUGAAUUGACAGGGGCCCGCACAAGCGGUGGAGCAAUGUGGUUUAAUUCG
rnacentral:rRNA from 2 species